rnacentral:misc_RNA from 1 species
GCAAACGCCGAUGUGAACAAUCCGUUGCAAAUGCUAUCAGCUGCUGCGGCCGCUGGAAAUCAUUCGGGUGGUAUUCUAGAAGGACAGUUGCUGAAUAAUGUGAAAGAAGAGAUGAUGGAUGUUAGCGAGCCACACAAUGGACAUUUAUUGAGAGGUAAAUUAUUUUGCACCCACUAAUAAAAAACAAAAUAUAAUAACACCAUGAAACAGUAACUUUUCAAAUAAUUUAAUCGCAUUUUUUGUGCACUCGUUUUCCUAAUGUGGAAAGUCAAUUUUAACAUUAAAUUUAUUUUUGAGGCUUUCUAAUUCUGAAGUAUUCUCAUGAUUUCCAUCGUAUUAUUAUUUUCGCAUCCCCUCUAAACCUUGCCAUUGAAACGGUAAAUUUUAGAUUUUUUAAAGCAUUAAAGGUGGAGUAGGGCCAGAUGGUAUUUUGUCCAAUUUUGCUGACAGAAUUAUCUCCAUAUGCCCAAAUAUUUUACUGAAAGACUCGCAAACUUUUUUUUAAAGGUUGUAAGUUUUUCUAUGUAAGGCUUGGUACAAUUGGAUUUUUUGGAAAUUUUGAGAAAUAAUGCAGGUUCAAAAGCCUGCAGUGCUCAAACACAAGAUUAAAAUAUAAAAAUUGUAGAAAGCCAUUUAUUUUUGAUUGACCUCCAAAAUUAGUUGAAAAUUGAGAAAUUCGCACAUUUUGGCAAUGUUUUUCUCGAAUAUUUUUUCAAGAUGGUUUUACUAUGAUAUAUAAUUUUUUAAAAAAGUGGUUUCAAACAAUUUCCCUACUGACGCUGCUCAAUCUAAACAUAUUGAAGGCAAACAAUAUUGUUUUUUUUUUGAUAAGCACCUAAAAUCUUUUUUGAUAGAUAGUUGAAAUACAUAAUUGUCUAUUAACCUAAAGUUUAAAACCAAUAGAACUUUAACAUGAACUUGUAUUCAUCGAAGUUUCGAAACAGUAACCCCCAUUUAACACCACGCCUGCUUGUUUCUGCUAUAACCGCUUCUAAUAAUUACAGAAAUCACUCAAAACAAAAACUGAAAUCCUCCUCCUCCUUCUCCAUCCAUCCAUAUAAAUUUCAGUGGCUCGGCACAUUCAAAAAGCUUCAAAGCGGCCUGCGUCAGCAAAUCCAUCGAAUCUUUGCUGAUGCUCCAAACAUGCAUUUAGUAACUUAUCGAAGAAGAAGAAGUCACAAACAUUUUCAUUAAACUAGGGUGUUUAUAUAUCAGUUAGGAUAUUCAUUUUUCUUUCAAUUUUUCAUUUUUUCUUCCUUUUCUCCAAAAAACUUUUGCAAUACAAUGGAAUACCCAUGUUUUGUGCUCCUCUCAGAUUCCCCAUCCUCAGCAAACUAUUACGGUCUCUUUUUCCUUAGUUUGUACCCUUUUCAUAUUGAUUGUUGCCUUUUUUGUUUCUCAGUUUUCAUUAUAUUUUUCUCAGUCUUCCAUUUAUAUAUAUCUCCCUCUUUUCUACCAAACAAAAACCAUUUCCAAGAGCAUUCGAUGAUCCCGACACUACACAUUUGAUCUACUACCAUCUUCCAACACACUUUCCCGCCUUUUUUCUCUCGUUGUCAGGGUCUCUCCAACAUCCUUCUAAUCUCUCGAUUCAUCUCCCAUUACAGUAGCGUUGUUUUCUUUGUUUGUGAUUCGCCCUGUCUGAAACUGUUUCAGAAACUCUUAAUAUUCACUGAAAUUACCUCCUUCUCCCAUUUUGCCCACACUUUGUAUUUUAUGCGCAAGUUGUGAUUUGUGUGAUGGUUUUUACUUUUUCAACAAUUUUUCGCCCAUUUCCUCCCAUUUUCUACUUUCUUUUUAUCAUUGAAUUACCUCAAUUCAAAUUG